GGAGGAUUUGAGGCGCCUUGAAUUUUCCUUCGCGAGUAUGGAGACUAGCCGAUUUUUCAUGAAGCAACCAAAGACUGCGGUCCUGGAUCCUGCAACAUCUACCGCAUUCUCUCCAGGCCUCUCCACUUGCCCAAGCUCUCAGCCACCAGGAGACAGACGGAAGGGGCUUCUGGGGUGCGUUGGGAGCAGGCACUGUCCCCUAACCACUCCUGCUCAGUUUCCCAAAGUCCAGCGACCUCCGACCCUUCUUGGGGGAAAAAAUACCAGUACCCAGACACCUCUGCACCCUGUUAUAUGACUGGGCUUGCUUCAGGAAUAUCUUACAAAGAAGAAGAAGAAGUAGAAGGAGGAACGGCUUGGAGUCAUAUUAUUUACAUCUAGUUCUACUGAUCCGUUCACAUCUGGAGAGUUUAUUUAUAACUCCCUCUAUAACUCUCCGUUUGGAGGC
rnacentral:lncRNA from 1 species